AUACGUAGGUGGCAAGCGUUGUCCGGAAUUAUUGGGCGUAAAGCGCAUGUAGGCGGUGCCUUAAGUCUGUCGUGAAACUGCGGGGCCUAACCCCGUAUGGCGAUGGAAACUGUGGCACUUGAGUGCAGGAGAGGAAAGGGGAACUCCCAGUGUAGCGGUGAAAUGCGUAGAUAUUGGGAAGAACACCGGUGGCGAAGGCGCCUUUCUGGACUGUGUCUGACGCUGAGAUGCGAAAGCCAGGGUAGCGAACGGGAUUAGAUCCCCCGGUAGUCCUGGCCGUAAACGAUGGGUACUAGGUGUGGGAGGUAUCGACCCCUUCCGUGCCGGAGUUAACGCAAUAAGUACCCCGCCUGGGGAGUACGGCCGCAAGGCUUAAACUCAAAGGAAUUGGCGGGG
rnacentral:rRNA from 1 species